GGCGGGACACGUGGUAUCCUGUCUGAAUAUGGGGGGACCAUCCUCCAAGGCUAAAUACUCCUGACUGACCGAUAGUGAACCAGUACCGUGAGGGAAAGGCGAAAAGAACCCCGGCGAGGGGAGUGAAAAAGAACCUGAAACCGUGUACGUACAAGCAGUGGGAGCCUCUUUAUGGGGUGACUGCGUACCUUUUGUAUAAUGGGUCAGCGACUUAUAUUCUGUAGCAAGGUUAACCGUAUAGGGGAGCCGAAGGGAAACCGAGUCUUAACUGGGCGUUAAGUUGCAGGGUAUAGACCCGAAACCCGGUGAUCUAGCCAUGGGCAGGUUGAAGGUUGGGUAACACUAACUGGAGGACCGAACCGACUAAUGUUGAAAAAUUAGCGGAUGACCUGUGGCUGGGGGUGAAAGGCCAAUCAAACCGGGAGAUAGCUGGUUCUCCCCGAAAGCUAUUUAGGUAGCGCCUCGUGAACUCAUCUUCGGGGGUAGAGCACUGUUUCGGCUAGGGGGCCAUCCCGGCUUACCAACCCGAUGCAAACUACGAAUACCGAAGAAUGUUAUCACGGGAGACACACGGCGGGUGCUAACGUCCGUCGUGAAGAGGGAAACAACCCAGACCGCCAGCUAAGGUCCCAAAGUCAUGGUUAAGUGGGAAACGAUGUGGGAAGGCACAGACAGCCAGGAUGUUGGCUUAGAAGCAGCCAUCAUUUAAAGAAAGCGUAAUAGCUCACUGGUCGAGUCGGCCUGCGCGGAAGAUGUAACGGGGCUAAACCAUGCACCGAAGCUGCGGCAGCGACGCUUAGGCGUUGUUGGGUAGGGGAGCGUUCUGUAAGCCGUUGAAGGUGUGCUGUGAGGCAUGCUGGAGGUAUCAGAAGUGCGAAUGCUGACAUAAGUAACGAUAAAGCGGGUGAAAAGCCCGCUCGCCGGAAGACCAAGGGUUCCUGUCCAACGUUAAUCGGGGCAGGGUGAGUCGACCCCUAAGGCGAGGCCGAAAGGCGUAGUCGAUGGGAAACAGGUUAAUAUUCCUGUACUUGGUGUUACUGCGAAGGGGGGACGGAGAAGGCUAUGUCAGCCGGGCGACGGUUGUCCCGGUUUAAGCAUGUAGGCGGAGGUUCCAGGUAAAUCCGGUACCUUAUUAACGCUGAGGUGUGAUGACGAGGCACUACGGUGCUGAAGUGAUAAAUGCCCUGCUUCCAGGAAAAGCCUCUAAGCAUCAGGUAACACGAAAUCGUACCCCAAACCGACACAGGUGGUCAGGUAGAGAAUACCAAGGCGCUUGAGAGAACUCGGGUGAAGGAACUAGGCAAAAUGGUGCCGUAACUUCGGGAGAAGGCACGCUGAUAUGUAGGUGAAGUCCCUGCGGACGGAGCUGAAAUCAGUCGAAGAUACCAGCUGGCUGCAACUGUUUAUUAAAAACACAGCACUGUGCAAACACGAAAGUGGACGUAUACGGUGUGACGCCUGCCCGGUGCCGGAAGGUUAAUUGAUGGGGU
rnacentral:rRNA from 1 species